GUAGAGAACCAUCGAAUUGUCGUAAGUUCAAAGAUUUGCGAUACAUACGACAAAUGUUUUAUGAUUAAAAAAAGAUUACAUUUCAUUUAUGUAAUACUUC